GGUGAACCUGCGGAAGGAUCAUUACCGAGUACGGGUCCCUAUCCCCUUCCCGGGGGGUGGGGGCCCAGACCUCCCACCCUUGUCGAUCGUACCGUGUUGCUUCGGCGGGCCCGCCACGGUUGGCCGCCAGGGGGGUUUGCGGACGCUGCCCCCGGGCCCGUGCCCGCCGGAGACCUCUCUCGAAAUGCUACUGUGGUCAGGAAUGCUGUCUGAGUGGUGAGAAAUUGAUCAAAAACUUUCAACAAUGGAUCUCUUGGUUCCGGCAUCGAUGAAGAACGCAGCGAAAUGCGAUAAGUAAUGCGAAUUGCAGAAUUCCGUGAGUCAUCGAAUCUUUGAACGCACAUUGCGCCCCCCGGCUUCCCGGGGGGCAUGCCUGUCCGAGCGUCAUUGCCAUCCCCUCAAGCUCUGCUUGGCUUGUUGGGCCGGCGUCCUCCCACGACAGGAGGACGGGCCCGAAAGGCAGUGGCGGCACCCGGGGACUUGGUCCUUCGGGCGGUGAUGCAUGGGUCUCUUCAUCCACCGUCCGGCUGGCCAUGCCCCGGGAGCCUGUCGAACGAUCGGUCUUCCCCUUUAGGUUGACCUCGGAUCAGGUAGGGAUACCCGCUGAACUUAAGCAUAUCAAUAAGCGGAGGAAAAGAAACCAACCGGGAUUGCCUCAGUAACGGCGAGUGAAGCGGCAAGAGCUCAAAUUUGAAAUCUGGCCCCUUCCCCGGGGUCCGAGUUGUAAUUUGGAGAGGAUGCUUCGGGUCCGGUCCCGGUCCAAGUGCCCUGGGAUGGGCCGUCGGAGAGGGUGAGAAUCCCGUCUGCGACCGGUGGCUGGGCCUGGGUGAAGCUCCCUCGACGAGUCGAGUUGUUUGGGAAUGCAGCUCUAAAUGGGUGGUAAAUUUCAUCUAAAGCUAAAUAUGGGCCGGAGACCGAUAGCGCACAAGUAGAGUGAUCGAAAGAUGAAAAGCACUUUGGAAAGAGAGUCAAACAGCACGUGAAAUUGUUGAAAGGGAAGCGCUUGCGAUCAGACUCGCCCGGGGGGGUUCAGCCGGCACUUGUGCCGGUGCAUUGCUGCCCGGGCGGGCCAGCGUCGGUUUGGACGGCCCGUCAAAGGCCCCCGGAAGGUAGCGCCCCGCAUGGGGCGUCUUAUAGCCGGGGGUGCCAUGCGGCCUGUCCGGACCGAGGAACGCGCCUUCGGGCUCGGACGCUGGCGUAAUGGUCGUAAGCGGCCCGUCUUGAAACACGGACCAMGGAGUCUAACAUCCACGCGAGUGUUCGGGUGUUCAAAACCCGUCCGCGCAKUGAAAGCGAACGGAGGUGGGAACCCUCUCCCCGGGGGGUGCACCAUCGACCGAUCCUGAUGUCUUCGGAUGGAUUUGAGUACGAGCGUGGCUGUUGGGACCCGAAAGAUGGUGAACUAUGCCUGAAUAGGGUGAAGCCAGAGGAAACUCUGGUGGAGGCUCGCAGCGGUUCUGACGUGCAAAUCGAUCGUCAAAUUUGGGUAUAGGGGCGAAAGACUAAUC
rnacentral:rRNA from 1 species